UGGGUAACCUGCCUCAAAGAGGGGAAUAGCCUCCCGAAAGGGAGAUUAAUACCGCAUAAUAUGUUUAGGUCGCAUGACUUUAACAUCAAAGGAUUUUCUUUUAGAAAUUCCACUUUGAGAUGGACCCGCGGCGCAUUAGCUAGUUGGUGAGGUAACGGCUCACCAAGGCGACGACGGGUAGCCGGCCUGAGAGGGCGAUUGGCCACACUGGGACUGAGACACGGCCCAGACUCCGUACGGGAGGNAGCG
rnacentral:rRNA from 1 species